CCAUUUAUAUUUAAAAUUUUAACCGUUGGAUUAAAAUCUAAUGGUUAAGAUUGCAUCAACCUUUUUAAGUCCUUCCCUAUUUCCUAACCCUAGUUUCCUUUUCACACAUGAUUUCACACUUCACACAGCCGUGGGCGGCAGCGGCGAUCACCACGGAGGCGGAGGCCGCGACCACAGGCAUGGCCAUGGCGGAGAGGCAUGGGAUUUCAGGAAGAAGGUGUGGAGCAUGAUGGGGGGGCCUACAAGCACUAGCACCGCACGGCGAUCGCCAUGGCCGGGAUCUUCCUCACCUGCGUCCCCAUCGCCAUGAAAUCUGUCGAGCUCGAGGUUUUUUUGCCCUAUUUUUUCUGUAGUUUUUGGUAUCAUCAGUGGGUUGUGGGGAUGGGGAUCGGGAUCGGGGUGGGGUAAUCCGAGGAUUCGUUGUAGGGUAUGAGUGGAAGAACGAUGAGAUUGAGUGGAUUUUUGAGUCAUUUUUUGCGGAUUCGAUGUGAUUUAGCGUUUAAGGUUACGAGAAAAUGUAGAGAAAUGGGAGUAUUUAACCUUUUUUUUUCUUCUAAUUAUUGAAAUAAUCACUGAUUCUCGUUCUCUCUCUCUCUCUCUUACGCAACCAGCCACAGGCGGCAGCACCGCCGUUCGCAAACACCCGGCAGCGGCAGCGAACUUCGACAGCGGCGUUAACGACCCGAGAGCUCGAGCCGAACACGAGCCGACCUUGGGACGUUCGAGCCGAGCUCGAGCUGGCUCCCGCUCGCUCGAGCUCGGCUCGUUUACAGCCCUAAUUAGAUGUCGCCAAUGACAUGUUACGUUAGUUGCAAUCAUCACCCAACAAAAAAGCAGCAGCUCUUAUAGUGCAGAAGUUAGCAUUGGUGAUGCUUGUUCUAACAUUCACACAGACUCCCCUAUUGUUGCUGAUUAAUGUCAAGUGCUUCUAUGUUCUCACCAAAAAUGUUUGAAUCUGAACUAUCAGAUCCAUAGAUGAUGAGUUCAAAAUCUCCCACAACGGGAUGGUGCAUGCAUCAAGAUUACCUCUUUAAAAGCAUACUGGUACUCUUUAUAGCCCUUUUGAACCCUAUUUAACAUUUUGAAAUCCUAGUUGGUACCCAAGGCCCAAAUUUGAAUCCUAAUUGAUUCACAUUUUUAGCUAAGUUUAUUUCUAAAUAAAAUAAACGAUAGAGUAGGGGUAGGAAAACGAAUGAGGGAG
rnacentral:lncRNA from 1 species